UGGAAUUUAACCAGAGGUACCCUGAGGACACCCACCUCUGAUUUCAGGGUGCUGCCAGGAGAAGGAACUGUCCCUGGUGAGAUGACAGAUCUCCCCCCUGGGAACCUCUAGGAAGUGGGUGGUCAGGGAAGGGAAGAAGGAAAGAGGCGGUUUGCUGGGAAGAAUUGUCAUUUCCCACACUGCUGGCCUAUAUCCCAAACAGAGCUGGAGCACUGGGGAGGGCAGCACAUGGGGCAGAUGGAAAGGAGCUUAGGGGGCGGGAAUCUCGCCAGCCCUUUCCUGGAACCCCAGAGACUGCGAUGAGCACAGGAGGCACAUGUGAGCUACAGACCCACCAGAGUCAGACAUCGCUCUACUGUGGACUUGCUGCCAGGGCCCCGGCGAGGACGCCCAGGAUAUUACAUGGGAAGACCAAGAGACAACAGAGCAGUGAUUUAAAAGUUCUGGAUAAAAUCUGCCACCUCCACAAUUUUGAGUGCAACCACUGAUCACAUGGGAACUAAGAACAUUUCCAGAUACUGAGGUGCAUGCUCUCUCUCUCUUUCUCUCUCCUCCCCUUCUCCUUACCUCCUCUCUCAGGUGCUGCCUCUUUUGGAAGGAAGAAAUCAGAAAAAGAAAGAUGCUAGUCCCUGGAACAGGAAACAUCACAAUGCAGAGAAGAAAGAGAAUUCCGGCAUGGCAGAAGAUCAGGGUAAACAGAGACCCUAAGGCUCCAGAACCAAAGAAGCCUGGACUUUACCUGAGCUGACCAUAUUACUGUCUUAACCAGAGUGGUUAGAGCAAACCAUCUACAAUAGAAUGAAGCAAAGCAGAAAGAAAACAGUAGCUAUUAAUUCCCUGGAAAAUAGGGAAUCUUAAGUUCUAUUCAGAGCCCCAAUUAUGCGUAAGGUAAAAACCACUUUAAUGAAAAGUGAUGACACAUCAGUGCGUGUCAGAUGCACAGCCAAAAACAAAAACAAAAAAACAAUGGAAACAACACACACACCCCACAUGGAAAACAGAGAGAAUGGGGAAAAAGCAUCAAUUUGGACAAACUGGAAGAGAUGUCUCUUAGGUAAUAAUUUAAUAAUUUCAUUAUGAGCAUUUUGUAUGGAAGAAGGAAGGCAACAAGAGGAGAGUGGGAGUUGUUGAAAGCAGCUGCCUGGGGACAGGCUCCAGUUUUUAUGUGACUACUUGAAUGCAUGUGUAAAACAAUACAAUUUUUUUUAUCAUAAAAUAAAUAAAUAUUGCAGAGAGAGAAAAGGGGGGUUGGGAUAAAAAUCAAGUGUCAAUCUCUGGCAGGAGCAAUGUGGCCAUUUGUUUCUAAUCUACAACUAUAAUGACCUGGUUAUGAGAAAAUCUCAUUCAAAUCUUACUUUGGAGAACCUUGAACUAUGUGCUGGGAUUACUGAGGCAGAGCCAAAGAAAGCCUGGCCGUGGCCCCGAAAGGCCAAGGGAUCUUGUUGCAGGAUAUUUGAUCCUACUGUGAACCCCAAAACUGUGAACUGUAAAACCCUGUUUCUUGUUUGGUGUGAGCCCUAUCACACACUUUUAAUCCAAGAACUUUCUGUUCAUUGUAAACAGGUGAUUAUAGUGUGGUUCACCCAGCUCUAGCACACACCUUUAAUCCAAGAGCUUUCUGUACACAGGAUUUAACAGAAGCAUUAAAUGAAAAGCUAAAUAACAUAACCGAAAUUAAUUCAAUACCAAUUAUGAUUAAUAUCAUUUUUGCUGUUUUUAAAUGUAUUCUUAAUAGUCAAUAUGGCUUUCUGUACUUGCUCUAAGAAAAAAAAACUUUUGGAGAAACAAGAAAAAUAAAAGUGUGAAAAGUGCAUUGAUAAGAUAUAAGCCUUAGAAGGAAAAUUAGACUUACAAAUGAGAAUAAAAAUACUCUGACAGAGACAAAAGGAUUUAGAUAAGCUUUAAAAAGACCUAUAAAUGAGAAUAAAGAAAAUUCUCAGACACAAACAGAGGAAUUUAGACUAGAACCUACCACACCAUAGCAUAAUGAAACUGGAAGGGGGUGGCUUAAGGCUGCUAGAAAACCAGCCUUAGUAUAUCCAGUUAUUAUAUACAACCUACCAGAAGAUGAUAGGCUAUACGGAAUUUAAAUGGAAUUCUAUAGACAUAUUGGAUUUGAGGAGAUUAAGGAAUCAGUCAUCUCCUAUGGUAUUGCAUCAACCUAUGUUAAGAAGAUGUGAAAUUCUUGGUCAGCUCAGAACAGGAUUAUCCCCCAAGACUGGAAAGAUAUGACAACAGCAAUAUUGGAACAUGAUUCUUAGUUACAAUGGCAAUCAUGGUGGAAAGAGGAAGUAAAGGUAAUAGAACAAUGAAAUCAGGACAGAGGUACUGAUAUUUCCCAGGAUCAAUUGCUAGGUGAAGGUCAAUAUGCUGAUUUAUAAAGGCAGUUUGAAUUUGAUGAUCAUACCUUGGCACUAUGUUAUUUAGCAGCUUUAAAUGCUUGGGAUAAGGAUGAAGAAUGAGGAAAGAAGUCUGAGUCAUUUACUAAAAGUAUACAAGGCCCAAAAGAAGCCUUUACUGAUUUUUUUGCAAAGAUUGACUUCAGCUAUAAAUAGAAUUGUAUCAGACUCCUUAAGCAGAAAGGUACUAACUGAAACUUUCACUUUUGAAAAUGUGAACUCAAAAUUCCAAAGGGUGAUAAGACCUUUAAAGGCAAGAUCAGCACCAAUAGAGUAAUGGAUUAGAGUUACGGCUGAUAUUAUCUCAUGUUUAUGAUGCUAAUCUCAUAGAAGUAAUUUCUAAAAAGAAAUUAGGAAUCUUUUGCAGGACAUUUGAUCCCAUCAUGAUCCCCAAAACUGUGAACUGUAAAACCCUGUUUCUUUGGUGUGGUUGAGACCUCUCACACACUUUUAAUCCAAGAACUUUCUGUUUCUUGUAAACAGGUGAUUUUGGUGUGGUUCAACCAGCCCUAGCACACACCUUUAAUAUAAGAACUCUCUGUAUAACGGAUCUAAUAAAGUUAACCCUAGGUCAAGAGGUGGAGCUAGAAACCAGCUGACAGAGAUUAAAGAGUAGGAAGGACUUUGAGUUGAGGGGUAUUUAAGAGGUCAUGGAGAAGAAGAAAAGACAAUUAGCUCAAGCUCUGGCUUUAGCUUACACUUCAACUCCUCAGCUCCUUGGCUUUUGGGGCUUUCAGCUAGCAAGCCUUUGGCCUUGGGUGUUUUGUUUUGUUUUGUUUUGGCCUUUUGCUCCUGGGCUGUCAGCUGAGUUAGUGAGCCUUUUGGGUUUUUGCCAACCAGACCUGAGCUGAGAAGGAAGGUCAGCUGUUUACUUUCUCUGCCUCUCUGAGCUAGCAGGUUUUCACCCCAGCA